rnacentral:rRNA from 1 species
GACGAACGCUGGCGGCGUGCCUAAUACAUGCAAGUAGAACGCUGAAGGAGGAGCUUGCUUCUCUGGAUGAGUUGCGAAAGGGUGAGUAACGCGUAGGUAACCUGCCUGGUAGCGGGGGAUAACUAUUGGAAACGAUAGCUAAUACCGCAUAAUAGUAGAUGGUGCAUGACAUUUGCUUAAAAAGUGCAAUUGCAACACUACCAGAUGGACCUGCGUUGUAUUAGCUAGUUGGUGGGGUAACGGCUCACCAAGGCGACGAUACAUAGCCGACCUGAGAGGGUGAUCGGCCACACUGGGACUGAGACACGGCCCAGACUCCUACGGGAGGCAGCAGUAGGGAAUCUUCGGCAAUGGACGGAAGUCUGACCGAGCAACGCCGCGUGAGUGAAGAAGGUUUUCGGAUCGUAAAGCUCUGUUGUAAGAGAAGAACGAGUGUGAGAGUGGAAAGUUCACACUGUGACGGUAUCUUACCAGAAAGGGACGGCUAACUACGUG